rnacentral:rRNA from 1 species
UGGUGGAGUGAUUUGUCUGGUUAAUUCCGUUAACGAACGAGACCUCAGCCUACUAAAUAGUCGUACAAAUUCUGAAUUUGUAGCUUGACUUCUUAGAGGGACUAUUGGCGUUUAGCCAAUGGAAGUUUGAGGCAAUAACA